GAUGAACGCUGGCGGCGUGCUUAACACAUGCAAGUCGAACGAAGAGGUAUGAGCUAAGAGGCUUCGGUCUUGAAGCUUGUACGUAUCUUAGUGGCGGACGGGUGAGUAACGCGUGGGCAACCUGCCCUUUACAGGGGAAUAAUCAUUGGAAACGAUGACUAAUACCGCAUGUCCCCGUAAAAUGGCAUCAUUUUACGGGAAAAGGAGUAAUCCGGUAAAGGAUGGGCCCGCGUCUGAUUAGCUUGUUGGUGGGGUAACGGCCUACCAAGGCGACGAUCAGUAGCCGACCUGAGAGGGUGAUCGGCCACAUUGGGACUGAGACACGGCCCAAACUCC
rnacentral:rRNA from 1 species